rnacentral:rRNA from 1 species
UGAACGCUGGCGGCGUAGCCUAAGACAUGCAAGUCGAACGAAGUGACCUUUGAAGCGGAGUGCUUGCACAAAGUAGAUAAAGAUUUCACUUAGUGGCGCAAGGGUGAGUAACACGUGGGUUAUCUGCCUUUAGACUGGGAUAACAAUUAGAAAUGAUUGCUAAUACCGGAUGACAAUAAGAAGAUACGUUUUCUUAUUUUAAAAGAUCCCCUUAAAGGAUCACUAAAAGAUGAGCCUGCGGCGCAUUAGCUAGAUGGUGGGGUAAAGGCCUACCAUGGCGACGAUGCGUAGCCGGACUGAGAGGUCGAUCGGCCACAUUGGGACUGAGACACGGCCCAAACUCCUACGGGAGACAGCAGUUAGGAAUAUUCGUCAAUGGGGGAAACCCUGAACGAGCAACGCCGCGUGAAUGAAUGACAGUCUUUGGAUUGUAAAGUUCCGUUGUUGGGGAAGAAUGUGUUAUAUAGGAAAUGAUAUAACAGUGACGGUACCCUUCAAGAAAGCUCCGGCUAACUACGUGCCAGCAGCCGC